AGCUACUGAUCUGGUUAAGAAGAAUGCAGGUUCACACAGGUGUUUCUCUUUUGGGACUGGAGAAGGAGCCAGUUCUGCUCUUAUCAAUGGGUUGACCAAGGAGGGAGGAGGUCAUGCUCAGUUCAUCACAGGGACUGACAGGAUGCAGCUAAACGUGAUGCAGUCGCUGCGGUUUGCACUGCUGCCAGCUGUGGAGGACGUCUCAGUAACAUGGGAUUUACCAAAGGGAGUGUCAGCCACCGUCCUCUCUCCACCAA